rnacentral:rRNA from 1 species
GACGGAGGAUGCAAGCGUUAUCCGGAAUGAUUGGGCGUAAAGCGUCCGCAGGUGGCAGUUCAAGUCUGCUGUCAAAGACCGGGGCUUAACUUCGGAAAGGCAGUGGAAACUGAACAGCUAGAGUAUGGUAGGGGCAGAGGGAAUUCCUGGUGUAGCGGUGAAAUGCGUAGAGAUCAGGAAGAACAUCGGUGGCGAAGGCGGCUCACUGGUCCGGUACUGACGCUGAGGUGCGAAAGCGUGGGGAGCGAACAGG